rnacentral:rRNA from 1 species
UACGGGAAGGCAGCAGGGGGAAUAUUGCACAAUGGGCGAAAGCCUGAUGCAGCUAUGCCGCGUGUAUGAAGAAGGCCUUAGGGUUGUAAAGUACUUUCAUCGGGGAGGAAAAAACAAAACUAAUAAUUUUAUUUCUUGACGUUACCCGAAAAAGAAGCACCGGCUAACUCCGUGCCAGCAGCCGCGGUAAUACGGAGGGUGCUAGCGUUAAUCAGAAUUACUGGGCGUAAAGAGCACGUAGGUGGUUUUUUUAAAGUCAGAUGUGAAAUCCCUGGGCUUAACCUGGAACUGCAUUUUGAAACUGAAAUACUAGAGUAUCGUAGAGGGAGGUAGAAUUCUAGGUGUAGCGGUGAAAUGCGUAGAUAUCUGGAGGAAUACCUGUGGCGAAAGCGGCCUCCUAAACGAAUACUGACACUGAGGUGCGAAAGCGUGGGGAGCAAACGAGGGAUUAGAUACC